AAGAGCACAGAGAAAGAGAGAGAGAGAGGCUGCUCCAUAAAUUCAUAGUCCGUAAAAUCAAGACGACAUCAAGAUGACUUCUGUUUCGUUAACGUUGCUAUACUUAAUCGGGAGUGUGAUAGCCUCUGUGGCCAGCGGCUGCUCUUCUCCUUACCAGCAAGUUGAAACGCUGGUGUAUAUUCGCGAACAUCACGGCGCCUGCAGGAGGGCCAGGUCGACCCUUAGACUGGUUGGAAGCCAGGGCAUCUUGCCAGCAAUCCAAUGGGGACUUGGUUACCUUAGAAGAAGAGAGAAAAUUCUUUGCCAUUUCGGAACACCUCGACAUCAAUUUCUCACUUUACACUCAUGGAAGCUGGGUAUAUUGGGUUGGCGCCUUUGGGUCGAACCGCGAGUGGCAGUGGGUCAAUAAUAAGCCCAUAAACCUCCUCUCAAAUAUCUGGCUGCCAAACCAACCCUCCGUGAAACCCACCACGCUACAUGGGCGCUUAGUUCCUGCUGGUAAGGUUCACGGGAGGAGGUACCUCUUGAGUGAUGACGGAGCCAGUAACAACUCACCUGGCCAUAUUUGCGAGCGCCAAUAGAAAGAUUGAAUAAAUUGUAAUUUAGGAGGCUUUUACCAAAAGCACUGUUUUUAGAAGUUCUUUUUUUGUUUUUUGGAAAGUAUGUUUUAGGGGAUUUAUUUAUUAAAGGUUUCGGAAAAGAAAUCUAUUGUUUAAAAUUUUCGACAACGUAGUUCUUUUUGAAAUCUUAUUUUGGGGGGUUUUGUGUGAAAUUUGUCCAAGAAUGGAUUCCAAUUUGGAUUGUGGCAAAAGCAGGAUGUUAUUUGAGAUCACCAGCAUUCUCAGAAAUAGCAUUCAUUUUUUUUAUUUGAGGCAAAUAUGAUACAAGAAACAACAGUUUGUUUUUCCCUUGUGAUAAUUUGUAGUUUAAUCAUUUUUCUUAGUACUGUAAUUAUUUAUGUAACUGCCUUUGUUAGAUUAUCACGUUUAGCAUUUAUUAACAGAUAUUGAGUAUUGGGAUUAAGGAAAUGUCUUUGGUAGCAUAUUUUUCCUAUGUUUAUUGACAGACAGAGAAUGCACAUUAAUUCUCUUCUCUGAGACUUUCGAAUAUUAAGGAUCAUUUUAAAUUUCUAUUCCGCAGUGUAGUA